ensembl:lncRNA
CAUGAAGUGAAUUUUAAGAGAAAGUGGGGCAUGCAGCAAGACAAUGACCUUAAGCACACAAGCCAUUCUACUAAAGUAUGAUUAAAGACGAAUAAAGUUAAUGUUUUGGAAUGGCCAAGUCAAAGUCCUGACCUUAAUUCAAUAGAAAUGUUGUGUAAGGACCUGAAGCAAGCAGUUCAUGUGAGGAAUCUGUUGGCUCGAAUUUAGCCUAUUACCCAAAAACAUUUAAAACUCAACUUAGAAGCCAAUACUCACAUCUACCUCUGAGCCCAGUUGGAGAUAGAAAAAAUACACCAGCCGUGAGUGAGAAGAAGCAAGGGUCCAGCUUUAUUGUUCCAUUCCACCACACGAGAUCCACACCAAUGAGAAUUCUCAGAAGUGAUCCCAAUAUCCUGAGCUUAGGCUCCAGUAUUUAUACUGUAUUUACACACUAGAUAACCCAUAGGUUUCCAGAAAAGGCCUAUUUCACUUACCCAUAGAAUUGAAACCAGGGGUUUUAAUUUACACAUAAAAUCAGAACCCAGGCAUUUCCAAAAACCCAGGAAACAAAAACCCAGAGUUUCUAGUUACCUAGGUAGCCAGAAACCAGGAUUCUCAAUUCCCUAGGUAAAAAAAAUGACGUAGACAAGACGACUAAACAACCGGGAGGGACCUUGGUCUUAUCGUUAUCUCGGGGGGGGGGCAGCCACCCUUAUAACUGGCUUUCUUCAUGGUUCUCUAAAAAUUAAGGCUUUCCUUGCGAGACGAGAAUCUUCACCAUCUGAAUCAUGAGUAAGUUAUAUUUUCCUUAUUUAUACUGUAUUUACACACUAGAUAACCCAUAGGUUUCCAGAAAAGGCCUAUUUCACUUACCCAUAGAAUUGAAACCAGGGGUUUUAAUUUACACAUAAAAUCAGAACCCAGGCAUUUCCAAAAACCCAGGAAACAAAAACCCAGAGUUUCUAGUUACCUAGGUAGCCAGAAACCAGGAUUCUCAAUUCCCUAGGUAAAAAAAAUGACGUAGACAAGACGACUAAACAACCGGGAGGGACCUUGGUCUUAUCGUUAUCUCGAGGGGGGGGCAGCCACCCUUAUAACUGGCUUUCUUCAUGGUUCUCUAAAAAUUAAGGCUUUCCUUGCGAGACGAGAAUCUUCACCAUCUGAAUCAUGAGUAAGUUAUAUUUUCCUGUUUUUUCCUGUAUUUCUCGUUUAUAA